rnacentral:rRNA from 1 species
UACGUAGGGUGCGAGCGUUAAUCGGAAUUACUGGGCGUAAAGUGUGCGCAGGCGGCCGAGCAAGUCGAGUGUGAAAGCCCCGAGCUUAACUUGGGAACUGCGCUCGAAACUACUUGGCUAGAGUGUGGCAGAGGGAGGUGGAAUUCCACGUGUAGCGGUGAAAUGCGUAGAGAUGUGGAGGAACACCGAUGGCGAAGGCAGCUGGCUACACAAAUAUUGACACUGAGGCACGAAAGCGUGGGGAUCAAACAGG